rnacentral:rRNA from 1 species
GACGAACGCUGGCGGCGUGCUUAACACAUGCAAGUCGAACGGAAAGGCCCUGCUUUUGUGGGGUGCUCGAGUGGCGAACGGGUGAGUAACACGUGAGUAACCUGCCCUUGACUUUGGGAUAACUUCAGGAAACUGGGGCUAAUACCGGAUAGGAGCUCCUGCUGCAUGGUGGGGGUUGGAAAGUUUCGGCGGUUGGGGAUGGACUCGCGGCUUAUCAGCUUGUUGGUGGGGUAGUGGCUUACCAAGGCUUUGACGGGUAGCCGGCCUGAGAGGGUGACCGGCCACAUGGGGACUGAGAUACGGCCCAGACUCCUACGGGAGGCAGCAGGGGGGAAUAUUGCACAAUGGGUGGAAGCCUGAGGCAGCAACGCCGCGUGCGGGAUGACGGCCUUCGGGUUGUAAACCGCUUUCGCCUGUGACGAAGCGUGAGUGACGGUAAUGGGUAAAGAAGCACCGGCUAACUACGU